ensembl:lncRNA
GCACCCGGUGCAACUUUCGAGGCAAAAAUGAACAUUCAAUUUCUAGUCUUUUUUACACGUAGUAUAUUUCAAUAACUCCCUACCAUUACAUAUCGACAUUCAAGGAGCGAAGAUGAGACGUCGUUGUGUGGUGAGAACUGAUAGAAAAUCGUAAACAAAAACAAUGGGCGCCAUUUUCUUUAUUUAUUGCGAUCUCACAAAAAUAAACAGGAUUCCAGUCGGCAAUCCUCGGAACAAGACCGAUGAGUCCCGAACGCUUCCGGAGAUUCUAAAAUGUGAUCCUGUCACUGGUUCUGUUUGCCAAUGCGCGAAUUGUUUUCUAAGUGUGUACAUACUUUACGAUACGCACCCACAUUCAAAUUUUGUACCGUUUUGUGCCGUUUUUUCUGCGCCCGUGGUUUUCUCAUUUCUGUAAGGAUGGCACAUCGUCCUCCCCGAGCAACAAAGCAGAAAGCCCUGGAGGGUUUUCACCUGAUGGAGGAAGAUUCCAGCAACGAGGACAAUCUGGGGCCACAAAGGGCAUUUGCCCGACACAUGGCAGAGAGUGUAUCAUCAGGUCCGGCCACUGAACCACUUCUAGACAUGGACAUGUCCUCUGCGGAUAUGUCCUUUGAGAUGGACAGGGAUGAGAGUAAUCUCGACAGUGCCAGAAGUGGAGGAGAAAGUGAAAGAGGAGCCAGCAGAGGAGCAAGGGGGAAGAGGUGCAAGAAGUGGCGCAAGGGGACGAGGGGCAAGGAGAGGAGGAAGAAGGCAAUACAACCCCCCACUAGCAUCGGUGGAGGAAAGGCACAGGGUCCAGAGACUAAGGGACGACAGAGUCAAUAGAAUAAAGGAGCUAAUAGAUGAGAUGAGAGAGGAGGAGGCCAAGGCACUACUACUGAAGACUCAUCUAUCCUGGACCUGUGCUCCAGGACCAGCACAUUGGUUGGGACUGGUGGCACUCUGGGCAGAAGACCGAGCCUCCUAGGAUCAGUCUCUGACAUUGGCUGCUUCCUGCUCAUUCCCUUUCCCAAGUCAAUCCUUUCAUCCAAGAUUUCUGACUGCAGGGCUGCCAACUUGCAACGGGCUUCGUAGACUGGGGGGCUGAAACCAUACCUCUUUGAGGCAUACAUCAGGAUGUGGUUUUGGAACGACUCCAGAUCAGAGGUUGUUCUGUUUUUUGCUCCGUGCCAGACAUCCAGUGAAUGGAAGAUGUCCUUCCUGCCAUACUUCCCCUUGUCAGCGUCUGUUUAUGAGAAAUAAAAAUAAUGUUCCC